UAAAAAUAGAAGGUUUAUCAGCAAGCUAAAUGCUUAGAAUCAGAAGACUUACCAAAAAGUUUAAUUUUUGGUAUAUUCAUUGCUCUCAAUAUAUUGAAAUAGUUAAAAAACAUGACUAAAAUGGGCUGUUUGUUUAAAAAAAGCCCCCUAAAUAUGGAGGGUGAAGGAAGAAGUGAAUCAUCAACUGGGAUUUCCAAGUUUAUAUAAGAUUUUUUGGCAAGAAGGGCUCAAACUCUGUAGGUGCCUACAGUGAUGCCUUAACAAAGUAUAUUGAUAAAAUACCAGCUUUAAGUCAGUUAAGUUUUGGCAUUGAAUAUGUGGCAAAAAUAAUGCUUAUAAUUUCUCCUUUUUUCAGUAGAUUAGGGUGGCUUCCAUUUCAUUGGUAUCUGAGCACCUGCACUCAUCCAUUAGCUUGUUCUCACAACAUCCUUGUAAGACAGAAAAGAAAAAAAAAUCCACAGUGUCAAGGACUUGCUGGAGCCUGCACCAGGAGGUCUGUGGAGAGGUCUGAGGGAUAAUCCGCACAUAGCGAGCCACUAUUGGAGGGAUGAAGUUGUUGCGCACUACGUCACCGGAGUUGGAGUUGCCUU